rnacentral:lncRNA from 1 species
GGAGAACUCAAGGGCUCCAGUCCCUCUCCCUCCACCUCUGGGGAGGAUGAUAAACAUCAAAGAUAAUAUUACAUUCUUGAGAUCACAUCAUGUUGAUCAGCCCAUCAGGAGAUGGAGCUCUUCUGAGAGCAAAGGGGAUACCAUUUCACCCCAAUUCAUCCAUUUUGUUCUAUCUCUUCCUCAGGGUAACUAAGGUAUCAGCCCUUCCCUGGGCUUCAAUGCACCAUGAUAUGCGGCCCAGACCCCCAAGCCAUGCAUAGCCCCAUCAGGAUCUGGAUUCGCCUGAGGAUGAAGAUCCAGGGGUGAGUCUGGCAUGGCAAGAAGCUGCAAUGGUUGGGCAUGGCUCUGGGGCUACAAGAGGCCGGGGUAGCAGCUGUCAGGGGUAAGACGCCAGAGGCCACGGAAGAAUGGACAGUAUGCUACAAGAGAGAAAGGCACUGUCACGGCGCUUGCUCUCUGAGACACUUGAUCAGAACAGUAGACAAAGGUCCGAGCAGAGGCUGCAACCACAUAGAGCCCACGCUUUCCCUGUCUCUCCUCCGCCUGCCAGAUGACCUCACCAUCUUCCUCCACAUCCCUUGGCUGCCCGAGAUCCUUCCUGCCCCGGGGCCUCUACCUGUGGCCUGUGCUUCAUCGCGUUAUUUCCAAGGGAUGGUUCUCAGAGUCAUUGCUGCCAACUUAAACUCUUCACUCAUCCUGUUUCCGUACCACGUCUUGAAGUAUCUUGGAUUUUUCCUCCAGCUGACGAUGAUCGGCAGCACUGAACAUGCUUCAAGGGCUCGAAACAAGCUUGUCUUAGUCAAAGGAUCAUAUUUAACAUUUUCAAUGCCGAUGGGUGAAUCCUGAGCCACGGGAUGGGCUCCCACUUCUCCCAGGCCUGUCUCCAUCCCAGCAAUGCCAGGAGAAUUCAUCUUCAGUAAGAGAUUGUUGUUGUUUUUUUUGGGGGGGGGGCGAGAGGAUGCGGGGAAUUCUUGAAUGGGAUUUGUAACUAUUGCACAUGCGAGGCUCCAUGUCCAAUCCCAGAAGGGAUUAAGCCUUUGACGACCUAAGAGUUUCAAAUAAUGUAAGUGAAAGUGUUGUCCAGCAAGAGUGCAGACACUGUUGUGCUGUUUACUGAUCUGGGGCUUCCUCAGGACUCAG